rnacentral:lncRNA from 1 species
UGGAAUUUACAGGCUCUUAUAUUCUGAAAGUGUUGCAUGUCAAGAGUUGAUCUUAAACUUCUGGAUAAACAUUUGUCUAAUGGGCAGCCGUUCUUUAGACCAAUAAAUGAGAGUGCACAGGGUAUUCUUAUGACUGAGGAACCAGUUUAAUAUUAUGGUAUGAUGCGCUUUAAUACUUAGGGAUGACCCGGGAAGAAAACUUUAUAUUAGAGCACAAGGUUUGAUAAAUUAUUGUUGAUAUUACUUCACAACAUAGUAACUAAAAAGCAUAAUGUUUAGUUAAUGUUGAUUCACAGUUAGCAUAAGAGUGACAUAGUGUCCUCAGAAAGGGUCAAAUCAAUACUGUACACAGAAAAGUCAAAUCAUAAGAAUAAGAACAAACACGUGUUAAAGCAGCCAAAGUACCAGAUGAAGUCAGAUGUAAAAGAAAAUUAAAUUUGGUCUAAAAUCUGCAGAACAAACUGUCUGUACACGGAGCCCCAUGAGUGCCAGGUCAGUGCCAGAUAGACAGCCAUGUGGAUAUCCAUGUGCACAGACUGCAAAUCCAUACCCACAGAUUAAUAAAUCAUGUGCAUGCAUCAUGAUUCUGUACCCACAGAUUUAUGGGUACAGAUCUGUAAUUGUGCUCAUCAUCAUGUGCGCAUCAAAUCUCCUUUCUGUAGAUCUAGAACACAGAUCUGCAGGUGCGGGUUUUAAAACAUGGGUACAUCAUUUUCUAAAAUCUUGUUCAUGUGUAACAUUUAAAGUUCAAUGCUAGUCGUCUACAUUUAUACAAAUAAAACUGAUGCUGGUUUUAUUUGAUGUUGAAUGACGUUUUUCAUUUUGUGAACUAAACAUCACAUCAUUGUAGUAAAAGUUGAUCACAUUGAAAUAAUGUACCAAUAAUGUCUUUGAAUGAUAAGAAGGUGCUAAAUACAAUAAGAAAUAUAAAUGCCAGCGCUCAAAUGUGUGUAAAAGUGUACAGGAAAUUCAUUAGAUUUUUGUCUUAGCUCAAAAAAAAAUCCAGGAUUUAAAAAAUUGUAAAUUUCAGGUUGAAUCAAAUUGGCUGGAAAACAGGAAGCUUUUCCAAAGAAGUGUGCAUUUGUGAACGAGCCAGAUAUGAAUGACACGCCAUGAGUAACGUCACACUUACCAACUGGCAAAGCAGUGAGACACGCCCUCUUUCGUUUAGUGCCAUGCACUGUGGAACCUGCUCCUCAGAUUGAGUAAAUAGGGCCGUAUGUGCAUACUGCUCUGUUUGUUGUGUAAUUUGAAUGGAUGGGGUGGAGGUCAUAAAGUGACUGUGCAAAGGAGAGUGUUCAUGUAGUUGUACUAUAAUGCAUCAAAGCUGAAUAAAAAGCUGUUAGAAGGACUGAAAACAUAAAGCGUGUGUGUUUGUGCGAGUGUGUAGCAUGUGUAGGCAUGAGUGGUGUGGGUGUGUCCAUGAUAUAAAUGACAGAGUUUACAGAACUAACAAGCCAUGAAAAGAAUCCAGGAGCAAUGUCACAGUCACAUACUCGCCAACACUACGGCUAUCAGCUACACACCCUUGUUUUCACAUAGACACACAUGCUCGGACACGCAAAUAGCAUUAAAGGAUUGUAGUGUAAUUCCUCUCACACAUGCAUACAUUAAUUCAUGCAUGCUCAUACAUAUAGAUCCAUACCAGGGUGCUGCAACUCCACUCACUCUGUAUUCCUCUCACACAAACUCACACUCAGAUGUUUGCUUCACUAGCUGUGUUUACAGGUGCUCAAAAUGCUCCGUAUAAACACCACGUUGCAAUAAACAGGCCCAAACUGAAUGAAAUUUCAUCCUGUCGCAAAGGGGUUGUGUAAAUCUUUUCAUAAAGCAAUCAAAAUGUUGAAAAAAGUCCCAUUGAAAGGGUCAUUCAGAUUGUCCAGGUUGGUUUCUUUCCACACAUGCCCGACAUCUUGACAUACAUAGACAGUAACAUGAGAUUCUCCUUUUUCAGAGGUGGCAGAUUUGAAGUUAAACCAGAUGAUGGCAGACAGUUUUAGGAGAAAAGCUGACAGAACUUCAGAUGUCUGAUCAGACACAUGUCGACACGUCAUUAGAAGAAAAAGGCUGGCUUUAACUUGAAAUAGGAGUAUGAUUAUUUUGCUAAAGGACUAAAAGGGAAGCAUAUCCUGUAAAGAGACCAGGUUCCCUGACAAAAGCUGUACAAAUGCAUAAAAACUGGAAUUUGAAGAUCCAGCAGUAAGUUCUCACCGGGUUUAACACCAUAGACACAACAAUGACGCAUCAUAACAUCGGUCAAGUUCUGGCUAGAUACAACACAUCCUUGAAGGACAGCAGAGUUGUGAAAGAAGCAUUUGUACUCCAGGUCCCAAUGAGUGAGUACAUUUACUUUGACUUGACCAGCCUAGAACGCUGCUAAAAGGAAAGGAGAAAACUGGUGGCUCUUAUUAUCAUUUUCAGUUGGAGUUACGCAUAAUUCACCACAUCUGGGCAAACUUUACAAUCAUCAAUGAAAUAAGGUGCUCAGAGUAAGAUACCAAAUGUAUCUUUAAGUGAUAUUACGGCGUAAGUUUAAGUCAUGGUCAAACACACCAUAACACCAAGGGUGUCUAACUCAGUGUUACGGUGUGUUGCCGACUGCUUGCUUCUCUAGUUACACCAACUUUGGCAAUGACCGCACAAUAGCAAUACACAGCAGUCUACGUCUCUGCGUGCAAACCGCAACCAAAAAGCCACUCUAUAGCCAUACUAGCCAUCUAACAUCUUUUAGCUCUGCCUGGAUUCUUUAGCAAAGAGACUAAACAUGACUCACCCACUCUCCUCCAGCAGCUGCUUGUUUGUGGGGGAGCCCUUACGAGUUGAUCACCGAAUGCAGUGGAGAUCCGCAGCUCAAGGAAGAACAAUUAUGAUCAUUACUUCCUGGAAAUGCAAUCAGACCGAGACGCCAAGGCAGAAGAACUACCGCGUCUGCAGUGCAAAAUGAUUAUUAUGAUCAUUACUUCAUGGAAAGCGGUCGGCAAAAUUAAUCUCUCGAGGGGGUGUCUAACUCAGUGUUACGGUGUGUUUGACCAUGACUUAAACUUGCACAGGAAUAUCCCUUUAACCCCAUACUUUGGGGACCACAACCAUAAGGCGACUAAAACCUGGUCUAAAGUCAACUUUGGAGUUUCUUCCCUAAUAUUAAGUGCCUGCAUUAAUAACAGUAUACAGAGAUACACAGCAGUGCUCCUAUCUAAAAGCAAGUGUGUAUUUCAAAACACUUACACUGGUUUCUUUUUCUUAUUGUGACUCUCAUCUUACAGAUGGUGAGUUUUUGUUUCUCUUGUCUCCUUGUAUCAUGUAACUGCUUCCAGUAUGAGGUCAGUCUCUGGAUGUUCAAUGACAAGUACACUCCCCAUCCACCUUUGGCCCUACACUGACCGAAAACGCACCGUGACUGACAUCAAGCUCUGCACGAAAGUCACCAUUUCCACUGUCACUGAUCAUUUCAGCAUCUUUACCAUCAGUCCAUGUGAUGUCAAAACUCAUAUGGUGAUGAGUAUGUCUUGUGUGCACAGAACCUCCUGUGCUUCUGACGUGUGCUUUAAGAGCCUUCACAUGUUGGUCUAUAAAUAAGCCUGCAAAGCUCAUUCCUGCAGAAACAACACCACUUUGUUAUCAGAAUUUGUGCAGGUUGGGUUUCUAAGUAAAAUUUCUUUCCAAACCGCAUCAUUGUGUCUCUGUUAAACAUAUCACACUCUAUCUUACUUGUGAUUUUACAGUGCAAACUGCACUAAUGUUUGAAACUUGCAUUCAGAAAUCAGGGUUUCUUUGUCUUUCAUUUGGCUUCCAGUUGAGGGGGGGUUGUUAUUGCGAGAAAGAGAGCAAAAACAUCUUCCUUUUCUCGAGCAGGCAAGAAUUUGAGGACAGCGACUGUCUGCAUCUCUGCUGCUGCAAAACCCUUGGAGGGCCUUUUCCUUUCCACAAAUCCGGAGCAGCUUUACAGCGGCGGCCCAGUUUAAACCCCCCUGUCAAAAGAAGAGCGUGUCGCCUUUUCUAUGAUGAUAUGCUUGUGAAUAAUUAAGACAAAACUGCCAGCAAACGCAGCAGUGAGCGCAGUUUAUCCACACAUUGGUUUGUGGCUUUAUCAAUUAUACAUCUAGCAUGCCACAUGAACACAGAGGAAGGAGAUGAAGAGCCUGUGCUCACAAUGUCUAUAGGGACGGGGAGCAUCUGCAAUGUGAAGCAAUUGUGUCAUUCAAGCUGAAUGAUAAAACAAGGUAAUGCCUCAGCAUCACAGUAAGUGAUUUAAACCUCGACCAAUAGCUCUCACAGAUUCCUCUCAAACAGCUAUUCCAGUCUGAUUACCUCCAGCAUCCUCUCCAACUAACCGUCACAGGCCGAGCUGCUGCAUCUAUUCUUCAGCUUAUUCAAAGCAGACAGAGCAGCAGCCAUGUGUUUUUCUGGAUCAUUAACAAAGUCUUCUGUGGUCUCGGGUGGCGUCUGGGGAGGCGCGUUGCUCGCGGCUACAUUUGAGCCCAAAACAAGUUGGUGCUUCCUUUUCAUUAGCUCAGCAGAGGAGACACAGACAAACAGUGCCACUAACAAUUAGCCUGACACAUCCUGCGCUGAUCCAGUCCAUCACAUCGGCUUUGUGUUAAUUAGAUUUAAUGCUGACUUCAUCUGAAGCUUGCCACCUCACGACACUAAUUCAUGCUUUCAGGGAAACUUUGACCCAGCCCUGGAAAUACCACCUGAAUCUAGAGGCCAAAGGCAGGGGGGUAAAUCUCCAGGAUGUGCUUCAACUGUCUACACACUAGGGGUGGGAAUCACUAGUGGACCCACGAUACGAUAUUAUCACGAUUCUUGGGCCACGAUACGAUAUUAUUGUGAUUUUUAACAUUUUGUAAUCCAGCAGUGUUUCCCCUACAUUCAUAAUUGCGUGCGCCGCUACUGAAAUUUCACAUGAUCAUUAAUAUUAAUGCGCCACUAAUGAUUUCUACUCGCACAAAAACACACAACGUCAUCUUCGACUUGUUUUGAGUCAUCAACGAGCGCAUAAAAUCCCGUCUGACCCUCUCCCACCAACACGAAAGGUAACGUUCAAGCUUAUAAACAAUCUAUAGCAAGUAGCAUUAAUAGCAUUAGUAGCAUUAUCAAUGCACAGCUAAUGAUUUCAACUCGCACUGUGUGAGCACAACACACAAUGUUGUUUUCAACUUGUAUUGACUCAUCAACGAGCGCAUCAAAUACUGUCGGACCCUCUACCUUUAACGUGAAAGGUAACAUUCAAGCUUAUACACGGUCUGUAUAGCGAGUAGCGCGGGUAACAUGAAUGUAACAGCGGUAAGAGAGUGGGGGUAACAUCAUAGAUUUGACUUCAUAUCAGCAAUUAAUUUGAAAAAUCUAUACUUGGUAAAUGAGACAAUACGAUAUAUCACCAAACAAAAUAUCGUGAUACUCUGCUUUUUUCUCUCACUCCUACUACACACUGACAUGAGUUUAGCAAAAAAUGAAUUUGUAAUCUAGCCCCGAUGGACUGUAGUCAGCUUUUUCAUAAGAAACUGCUACAAGAACAAGUACGCAAGCUAGGCUACAGUACUCUGCAGCCACAUAGUUACUUUGAGAGACCGGCAUCUCAGCACUCAUCUCUGUGCGAGUGUAACCACUGUGGAACUUCCCAGCACUUUACUUUGCUAUCAAAAAGCUUAUUUGUUUCUGCACAGUUUGCAGAUGCAACAUGUGCAUGCUCCUCUGCUGGCAGUGCGAUCAGGUGGAGGUUUUCUAUCUGCCAUUAUCUGAAAAAUAAGUGGGGCUGCAAUAAGCAUGAGAGUGAGGAUAGUAUCAGCUGUGUCUAUGUCUUACAUUGUUUCAAAGGAGGAUGGCAGGGUUGCAAAUUUUGCUAAAUUUCAAGCACUGGAAGGCAGAACUAUUUCUGAGGUGGAAGACAAAAACAUUCAAAAGCUAGUGACGUAUUUUUGAA